rnacentral:lncRNA from 1 species
AUGGUGCCCAAAGGAAAGAAGGCCAAGAAAAAGGAGACCCACCACCCCACCCUGCUCCCACCCUCUCAACCCACCCCUGUCCACUGUCGUUAAGAAAUAGGAGGCUGAAAAGUGGUCAAUCCUUUGUUUAAGAAAAGACCCAUGAACUUCAGUGCCGGACAGGACAUUCAGCCCAAAACAGAUUUCACAUGCUUUGUCAAAUUGCCCUGCUCCAUCAGGCUGCAGCGGCAAAGAGCCAUCCUCUGUAAGCAACAUAAACUAUCUUCUGCCUUUAACCAGUUCACCCAGGCCCUGGACAGGCAAAUAUCUACUGCGAUAUUUAAGUUUGCCCACAAGUACAGGCCAUAGACAAAGCAGAAGAAGAAACAAAAGCUACUAGUAGGUGUUGAGAAGAAAGCUGCUGCCAAGGGGACAUCCGAACUGAGAUCACCUGUCCUUCGAGCAGGGGUCAAUUCAGACCCCUUGGUGGAGAACCAGACGGCUCAGCCAGUGUUGAAUGCCCACAGCGUAGACCCCAUUGAGCUGGUGGUUUUCCUGAGUGCCCUGUGUCGAAAAAUGGGGGUCCCUACUGCAUCAUCAUGAAGUACGUUGGGGCACCUAGUUCACAGGAAGACAGGCACCAUUCAUUGUUGCUUCACAUAGGUUCACUGGAAAGACAAGGGAACCAGAUAUGGCUAAGCUGCUGGAAGCUAUUAGGACCAAUAACAAUGACAGAUAGAAUGAAAUUUGCGGCCACUGCAGAGACAAUGUCCUGCAUUCUAAUUCUGUGGCUCAUAUAGCUAAGCUGAAAAAGGCAAAGGCUACAGAACUCGCCACUAAACUGGGUUAA